CUUCUUACAAACAAUGGAGUUAGUCCGACCGAAAUUGACAGUUCUUAUUUGUAUGGUUGUACCAGCGGGACACGAGAGAGGUUUUGUGUCGAAUUCACAGACAAUCUUAUUAUUGCUGGCAGCUGAAAUUUGCAAUACAAGUCGCAGAUAGUAAUCAAAAGAGCCACUGUGAAGCUGUGAAGGCCUUGUUCACAAAAAAGUGUUUGAGGUAUGAACACCUCGGAAUUAGGAUGUACACUUUUUUUUAACAAUUUAAUGAACUAUAUCUUCAGUUGGUCUUGUUGACCAAAAGCAAAUCUAUCGUUAACUUUUUAUUUGUAAGUUACGAGUUCAAAAAUCAACUGUGCAUUUUUUAUCAUUAACAAACAUUAAAUACAUUUUCAGAUCAAAAAUAAUUUUCUUAUAUUAUGUAAUCUAAUUCAAAUUAAGACAUUAAAGUCUUUCAGACCACCUAGCGAAUGUUGCAAAUACAUGUAGUAGAAACGCAAAGAUAUAGGGUUUUAUCAUUUUAUGGUAUUUACAUCACCGCGACAAACAUUCCCCAUACUUAGUACGGCCACUUUUGAUCUUGGUGUUUAUAGCUCCAUAAAAAUAAAAGAAGCAAAAUAC